CGGACGGGUGAGUAAUGUCUAGGGAAACUGCCGAUGGAGGGGGAUAACUACUGGAAACGGUAGCUAAUACCGCAUAACGUCGCAAGACCAAAGAGGGGGACCUUCGGGCCUCUUGCCAUCGGAUGUGCCCAGAUGGGAUUAGCUAGUAGGUGGGGUAACGGCUCACCUAGGCGACGAUCCCUGGCUGGUCUGAGAGGAUGACCAGCCACACUGGAACUGAGACACGGUCCAG
rnacentral:rRNA from 1 species